rnacentral:rRNA from 1 species
CCUACGGGAGGCAGCAGUGAGGAAUAUUGGUCAAUGGACGAGAGUCUGAACCAGCCAAGUAGCGUGAAGGAUGACUGCCCUAUGGGUUGUAAACUUCUUUUAUAUGGGAAUAAAACGUUCCACGUGUGGGAUUUUGUAUGAACCAUAUGAAUAAGGAUCGGCUAACUCCGUGCCAGCAGCCGCGGUAAUACGGAGGAUCCGAGCGUUAUCCGGAUUUAUUGGGUUUAAAGGGAGCGUAGGUGGAUUGUUAAGUCAGUUGUGAAAGUUUGCGGCUCAACAGUAAAAUUGCAGUUGAAACUGGCAGUCUUGAGUACAGUAGAGGUGGGCGGAAUUCGUGGUGUAGCGGUGAAAUGCUUAGAUAUCACGAAGAACUCCGAUUGCGAAGGCAGUUCACUGGACUGCAACUGACACUGAGGCUCGAAAGUGUGGGUAUCAAACAGGAUUAGAUACCCCAGUAGUC